GCAGCAAACCUAAAAAGGGGCAAAAGCUACCACCACUAACACCACAGCUCGUCUAGUCCCAUCGGCCGCUUGCAAGUUUCCCACCGCCCAUCCUCCCCCUCCUUUAGUACGCCUGCUUCUCCAAGAAGACUCCGCGCCCGCUCAUCGCCUUCUUCCCCUCAUUUUGUCUUCCAACCAAGACAAGAUUUGAGCCGUGCGUGGUGACCGAUCGUCAGUCCAGAGACGCCGCCGGGAACGGAACACCGUCGCGACGCCGCCGGAAAUCGCCGCUCCAGAGUAAAUCCUCUCGGCUCUCUCCUCCCAUUCUCUCAGUUUAGCGGAUAGGUCGCCGAAGCGGUUCUUUCUGGCCCCAAAUCGUCGCCCAUCUGCUUGUUUUCUUGAGCACGGAUGAAACUGCUGUAGCUUGAGCUCAAUAUAGAAUGCCCCUUUUUAGAUCUAGUCAUUUUAGAUCUGUAUAAAUUUUACAGUAAGUAGCCUUUACGUUUCAGAUACGUGUAGAUGUUACAACAAAAUUUUAGAUCUGAUUCGUCGCCCAGCACGCACAGCUGACCUGACACCUGCACACGAAAUGCAUGCAUGUUUUAGCGUCAAAUGGCGCAACAAUUUGUUAGUGAACGGUUUUCUUUUUUUGCAUAGAUCUAAAUAUCCACCAUAAAAAAGAUUGACCAAAGUAAUGGCAGCAAAAAUCGGCUGAUAAAUCUAACGGUCCACCAUAAAAAGAGGAGAGUGGCCAAACUUGAAGUUUCACCAGUGAUUUUUAGUCAAUCACGUUUCUUCUUCAUGUGCCAUACUCCGAACACUUUGGACUAGUUGUUUGCUGUGCUUAUGGAGUAUCUAUGUUGUACGAACUUUUUAGUACUAGUAGAACCGAACACUUUGUAUGUCUGAACUAUGUUGUACGCUUCGUCACUUGGUGCUUGUUAUGCUAUCUUGAGCGUCAUGUUGAUGUUGUCAACAAUGUUGUGUCCAUGCUAUUGCUAUAAAGAACUGUUAAUGUUCAUGUUCACCCCUGUUCACUUUCAGUUUGCGUUGCUAUUAAGGCAUGGUUGCUGUUUGAAAUGCUGAUUCCUUCGUGAGAAUUUGUGGUAUUUUAGUUCUUGAAAUGGUUAGUAGUUCAGUUACUCCCUUCUGUGGCUUAAUCUUUCAUGUUCAGCGCACUCUUUGGUCCUGCUGAUUUCGGCAAUUGGCCGCUCCUGUUCUUUGUGUGGAGAUGUCUUUUAUAUUAUGCAUGUUUAGGAAGCUGCAUGUCAUUUUGGUGCUCAGCAGUAUGGUUUUGUGUCUGAUUGUUACUACAGUGGGCAGUGAUUUAGACACUACUAUCACUGUUUUGUGUCUGAUUGCUACUUCAAUACGACUACUGCUUCUGCUUUUUGGCAAGUACAGACUUUGUUCCAUUGACUUCCAACCAUUUCGGAGAAAGAGCUUGGCUUUUGGUUUUGUUUCCAGUUUCUUUUUGGGGGGUAGUAGGAAUGAAUUAGUUAUGAACUUGAUUAGCUGGGCUUUUUCUUUGCUGCUGCUUCAGUGACCGAGUUUGUGUUGGCUGGCGUAAUUUUUUUUCUGUUCAUCAUAGUGGAACCUGGUCUUGUUCCUUUUAUUUUUACCCAAAACAAUGGAGCAGGUACAUGGCUUGCAUGGUCACAGAUUCACCAUGAUGUUUCCAUUAUCUAUCUACAAAAAUGUUGA